GACGAACGCUGGCGGCGUGCCUAACACAUGCAAGUCGAGCGAUGAAGUUUCUUCGGAAAUGGAUUAGCGGCGAACGGGUGAGGAACACGUGAAGAAUCUGCCCUCCACUUUGGGAUAACACAGGGAAACCUGUGCUAAUACCGAAUAUUGAAACAUAAGUGGCAUCACUGAGUUUUGAAAGAAUUUCGGUGGAGGAUGACUUCGCGGCCUAUCAGCUAGUUGGUGGGGUAAUGGCUCACCAAGGCAACGACGGGUAGCCGGCCUGAGAGGGCGACCGGCCACACUGGGACUGAGACACGGCCCAGACUCCUACGGGAGGCAGCAGUGGGGAAUAUUGGGCAAUGGAGGAAACUCUGACCCAGCGACGCCGCGUGCGGGAUGAAGGCCUUCGGGUUGUAAACCGCUUUCAGUAGGGAAGAAGCGAAAGUGACGGUACCUACAAAAGAAGCACCGGCUAACUAUGUGCCAGCAGCCGCCGUAA
rnacentral:rRNA from 1 species